UGACACAUACAAACUGAAGAGAAGUGUGGUGCUGAUUCAUAUGUAUAUACAGGAGAUGCAAGUGCCACCAAGAUAGAUAGUUUCAGUCAAAGUAAAAAAACAAUUGGACACAUACAAACUGAAGCAAACCGUCAUGCUUUUUCAUGUGUACAUACAAAAGAUGCAAGUGGUAUCCAGAAUUUGGAUAUAGGUAGUACGCUCAUGUGGUGAAUUUUGUGAAUCUAUACUCUGCAUCUACCAAAAGGACCGCUCCCCUCACAUGCAAAUAUAAUUCAGUCCAAUGGCUUUCUUCUCCCCUCACAUGCAUAAGACAAGAGCAGACCAUCUAAACAGGCGGAUCAGACCUUCACCAUGGGAGGGAGGCGAGUGCUACCUGUUGCCGUGCCAUCGUCGAGAUCGGGUGGUCCUCCUCCUCGAGCAAGACAAGGUUGUUCCUCCCCUACACUCCAAUGGCCAUCUUCUCCAAGGACAUCUACAAGGGCAGAACACACCAUUGAUGCAAGUGCCACCAAGAUAGUUUCAGUCAAAGUUAAAGCAAAUGUAAACAUGCAAACUGAACCAAACCGAGGUGCAUAUUCAUAUGUGUGUGUAUGUAGAGAUGCAAGUGCCAUCUGAAUUUUGGGGAACCAAAGCGUGGUUGUUGUUGUUGCUAAUCGAGGAGCAAGUUGUUUUAGCAACAGCACAUACUAGUAAUUAGCUAGGACCAUUAUUAUUGCACAACCAUUCGAGGACGGUGGCAGACACAUCAACUCACAAGGCUCUACUGGAGAAACAAAAUAAUAGGAUAUGUGAUGCUAUCAAUCUUAGCACAAGAAGAAAAAAACACAGCCACUCCGAUAGAAUGGAUGGAUGCAUCAUGCACAAUCAUCGGUUCCAUCAUUGCAGCACUAGUUGAGCAACAAAUCAAAAAUAACAGUAGUUCCAUUGGUUCAGCCAACAAGUUAACAAAAGUUUACUUCCCACUACUAAUUUUGCAACUUGUCAUAAUAAAGAAAACAGAGCUCGACAUCACAGAAACAAAUAAAUAAUGACCCGCUGUACUACAUAUAUCUGUAAAGGACUUCUUGAGAGAUGAUAUUAUUACCAAUGAAGAAAAAUUAAGAUCAAGGCUCCAGUACAUCAGCGGUACCUACCUGUGCAUCAAAGAAGAGAUGGAUAAUCAAUUUUAUGUAGGUAAUACCAAAUAAAGGAUCAAAUUUAAGUUCAUUCAAAUUGAUGCAUAUGUGGGUUGGCAGAAACAAAAAAAGAAUAUAUAUAAAUAGAUCUACAGAUAUGAACAAAAUGGCAAAUGUGAAAGAAAAUAGCGCAGAUAAAAUGUUGAUUGUUUUGGAAGAUCCAAAGGUACAUAUGAUCAAUUAAUCAUACCUGGGAAUCUGAACAUAUUAAUGCGAAAUAGUAACUGACUAUAGCAAAUGAUAUUGAGAUAGAAAAAAUUGCUACCUAGAGUCCUUGACUCAACCGAGAGAUCUAUGGGAACCAAAAUUUUACAUGCAAUUUAUCCAUGUUCAGGUAAUACAAAAUAUGCAGAGUAAUUAAAUUGUGUAGUAGCUAGCCCAUAUAUAAAACUAAAGGUAGAAACUGGAGUAAUGAAACAUAUCUGGAUUGAUGUGCAAAUGCUAUAGCGACUUACAUGCUUGGAUUCAAUAAUUAUGAAGAAGCAGAUUAGUGUGAUGCAUAUGCAUGUUCGUGAGAACAGAUCUAGGGGAACAACAAAGUAACCUGCACUUCCUCUAAUUUAUUAAUCACAUGCUCUUUGACUAACCAUCCAAAAAAUAUAGAUCAAGGAUGAUACUGCCAGCCACCUGCGGGGAGUAAGAAUGAGUAGUUUCUGCUAAUUAGAGGACAAACUAAAAAAAAGCUAACUAGAGAUUUGCUCUCUCUGUGUGUACGUUGUGCUCUGGCCGGUGGGGGAAUGAUAAAAAAUCAACUACUGCUAUGUAUGUUAGCUUGUCCAUCAGGAUAGAUCAAACUAGCUACCGGUGAAGGAUAUAUCUAGCUUCGUGACUUAAGAGAACCACAGCUAGGUUGCGUCGGCAAGGAGUGGGUUUGGCUCAGCGUUGCGUCGACUUUCAUCACCUUCUACUCCACCUCGCUCAUCAUCUCCGUUCGAGUUGUAGCAGCAAAAUUAACCAAUCCCUAUUGGUACUAUCUAACUAAAGAACCAGGAUUCUAAACUCAUCUUCUCUCUCUGUUUGGUACUAACUAGACAAAUAAAUAAAUAAAGGACUUGUUCAUACAAAUCCCUUUAGAAUUCCUUCACACAAGAGGAUUUGCAUCACAUAUUCCUCUACUUAGCAGUAGCAGUAGUGAUCAGAGGAAGGAGGCGGAGGAGAUGGAGGUGCUACCUGCCGAGGUGGGUCGUCGUGGCCGUGCUUGAGCUAGACAGCCCGCCUCCUCGAGCAGGACAGGGCCGCCAGCUAGGUGCGCCAGUAGGAAGGACGGCGCCCUCCUGCCGUCGUCGUCGUCCAGACCGCGCCAAGGUGACCUGCAGCAAGGGAAGGAAAGGAGAAGGUGAGGUGGGGAGGGUGGAUCUGGGCGAGGAAAGAGGGGAAGGACGUACCUGUGACACACCGGUAACGGAUUCGUCGAGCUCUGGCCUCGCCGUCGCCGGAUGUGGCUGAUCCCGGCGAUGUUGGGGGUGGCGGCCGAAACCCUAGCUAGCCACGGGGACAGUGGAGAGCGGGAGCGCCGAUUCUGGAUGGAGGGGGAGGUGGAGCGGACCUAGGGGAGCUCGGGGGCGUGCUGCGCGCCGCCGGAGCUCGCCGGAACUGGG
rnacentral:lncRNA from 1 species